AUUGAACGCUGGCGGCAGGCCUAACACAUGCAAGUCGAGCGGAUGAAGGGAGCUUGCUCCUGGAUUCAGCGGCGGACGGGUGAGUAAUGCCUAGGAAUCUGCCUGGUAGUGGGGGAUAACGUCCGGAAACGGGCGCUAAUACCGCAUACGUCCUGAGGGAGAAAGUGGGGGAUCUUCGGACCUCACGCUAUCAGAUGAGCCUAGGUCGGAUUAGCUAGUUGGUGGGGUAAAGGCCUACCAAGGCGACGAUCCGUAACUGGUCUGAGAGGAUGAUCAGUCACACUGGAACUGAGACACGGUCCAGACUCCUACGGGAGGCAGCAGUGGGGAAUAUUGGACAAGGGGCGAAAGCCUGAUCCAGCCAUGCCGCGUGUGUGAAGAAGGUCUUCGGAUUGUAAAGCACUUUAAGUUGGGAGGAAGGGCAGUAAGUUAAUACCUUGCUGUUUUGACGUUACCAACAUAAUAAGCACCGGCUAACUUCGUG
rnacentral:rRNA from 1 species